AAUCCCAUGUUUUCUAUUGCAUGUGUCUAUAUGUAUAAAAGAUAAAGACUAAAGCUUUUUGCUAACUCACACAUUGUUAUUAUUAUCUUCUUAUCUUAAAUCUGCUUAUCCAAUUUUCAAGAAUCAAGAAAAUUUGAUCACAUGGAAAAGAAUCAAGAUCAGCAUGAAUUAUGGAUGAUAGAUGAAGGACAUGAAUUAGAUCAUCAUGGUGAGAUUUGUGAUAACAUGAGCCACUCAUCUUCAUCAUCAAUUUCAUCAUCCAUUGGUGAAGGAUCAUCAAACAUCUCUAAUGGAUCUUGUUGUUCAUCCUCACUAGACACAACAGAUGAUGCAUCUUCAUCACCCUCUUCUUGUUCACCUAUUUCUGAUGAUGGAGCUUUGUAUGACUUAUCAUCCCUCAUGUCACAAUUACCCAUCAAGAGGGGAUUAUCUAAGUUUUAUCAAGGGAAAUCACAGUCUUUUACAUCUUUGUCAAGAGUGACAAGCUUAGAAGAUCUUGCUAAGAAGGAAUCACCUUUCAGGAGAAAAAUGAAGUCUUGCAAGAGCUAUGGUGCUGGAUUAGAUUCUUACAAAUCAUACACUCUUCCUAAGGCGACAAUAUUGAAGAAAGCCUCAAGGAACUCAUCAUUUUCAGCAUCUUUUACUAAUGGAAAGGCAAGUUUUAUCGGCAGGAGCAGGCCCCCUCUAUUUCCUGUGCAAGAACAUAGGAUGUAGUGUGUAGUGGAAAGAAAGAAAAUAAGGAAAGAGUAGUAUUUAUUCAAGCAGAGAGAUUUAUCGAAUAUUUGGAUCCCAUCAGAAAUUCACAUCCCAAAAAUCCAGAGAGAAUGGGAAUUGAUCUUCAUUCCCUAACUUAAGUGUAGAUACUGAAAAUCCUCAAGACCAAUAGAGUGAGAUCAAGAUAAGUGAAUUCUCCAUUGAAAGUUAAGAUAAUUAUUUCCUACAAGUUACAUAUCCAAUGCUUUUUGCACUUGAUACAUACAUUAGUACAUAAUUCCUAGAAUUUGAUCUGAAAGAAGACCAAAGAAUAUGAAACAACAGAGAUGCUGUUUCCACUAAACAAACAAAAACUCCUACAGUAGAUUGAAUCAUUCAAGGGGACAUGCCAAUACGAUCUCGAAUUCGACUUGAUCUCCUUACUGGGGUUGUCAACACCUUCUUGAUCUCUUCUCCAUCUUUCUCCACCUGCUUUUACAAGUAAAAUAGUUAGAGAUUGUAGCUUUUAUCCUAAUACAAGGAAGAUCUACACUAAAGAUCAACUUAAUUUUGCAGCAUACCUUUUUCUUCAAGAUCUUCUUCUUUUCAGCUGUAAAGCUUCCAUAUGAUGGAGAAUCUGUUAUAGAAUGAUCCACAACAGAUGGUUGAGCAGGAGGUAAAACACCACCUUUAGAUAAAUUAGUGUUGCUCCCUUCUGCUUCAAGCAUGCUGUUUUUCCUAAAACAGCUUCUAAGGGAGCUGCUGACUUCUCCAACAAUCAUUUCACCUAGUAGUUCAAUGUUUGGUGCACUGAUGUGGCUGAUCUCUUUCGAUGCUUCUUCCGUUGGUCCACACAAAGAUGAAGCUUGUGUAAUGGAUCCAAUGGCAGGUGUUCUCUCAAAGUGAGAGUUCCUGCGAUUUUCUGAGGGAUCAUUCAGUGGUUCUUGCAAAGAUGAAACCUUUACAGAAGCUUCAGUUUUCCUCUCUAAGAAUUCACCUUCAAUACUAGCAAUAACACUAGAAGUUUUGGGUAUUGCAGCUUGAGGAGUUCCAAUUGAAGCUUUUGGUUUCCUUGUAACAUAGAUGAUAACCAGGGAGGCCAUCAAAAUCACUGAAGCUGCUGAAACUCCGACAACAAUAACAGUGUUACUUGGUCCAAUUUUUUUGACUUCAGCAUUCUCCGACUCUAUUUCAGUGCCAAGAUUGCUGAUUUCAACUUCUGUUUCAAUUUCUUCAGCUCCUUCUGAUACUGUCUCUGAUAUUUCUGCUUCAUCAGCUUGUUCAUGUGAGAUCUUUUCAACAUACUCAACCUUGUUGUCAUCUUCUGCUAGCUCAAAUUUGGGCUCAUUUGCAUUAGUACUUGAAAUGUCAUCAGUCAAUACUUCAAGGUUCUCUUGCUCAGGAUCUUGCUUCUCAAGAGCUUGAUCCCUCUGCAGCUGAUCAUCAAAAUCUCUAACUUCUUCCUCAUCCACUUCAUUGGAAUUAGUAACUUCAUCAGCAGUUGUUGACAUGGUUUCCUCCUCUUCAUCACCACGUACAACACUAUGAAUAACUUCGACCUCCAUGUCGUCCUGAUCAAUAUCAAUAUCCGCACUCGGUCCUUUCUGUGGUUCAGUUGUUUCCUCCAUUUCAACACUUUCCACUUCCAACAGCUCCAAAAUAUCUUCAACAAAUUCGACUGCUUUAAGUUCAUAAUUAACCUCUCUUUGACUCAAUUCCAGAAAACCACUUUGAUAAUACUCUGGCUCAUCCACAUAUACACUUCCAGUCCCAUAAACUUCGUGGAAAACAGCUUCAAAGAUGUUCUUGCGAAUCAUAUCGCCAGAACCUGAACUCACCACGGAGUCCAUGGAUGAUAAAUUUGAUCCUGACAGAAAGAAAACAACCAGUAAAAGCAGAAUCUUGAAAACCCCUUUCAAACUCCAUUCCUGGUCCACUUCCUCUUCUAUUUCUUCUUCAUCAUCCUCAAUGCUAUCCUCCACCAAAUCUUCAUCAUUCUCUGGCUCCAGGUUACAUUCUUCUGGUAGAUUUGAGGGAUCUUGAGUUUGCUGCAAUGACCCUUGAUUAUCAUCAGAUUUCUGAAGAUCAAGAACGGUCCCACGACGCCUAUUCGGCUGGUAUCGAAGAUACUUAGGCCUAGGGCCGAGGUCAUUAGUAAGAGGGUCAUAUGGCUUAUAGGAGGAAUCAACAACAGAGUUGUUUUCUUGAUCAUUGUCAGAUUCAGAUGCAUAACUGUAGGAGGAAAUAGGUAAUUUUCCAGAACGAUGCGAGGUCGAAUUUAGGGAACUGGUUUUAGACCCAAGAUUUGAGGCUUUGUGAGGAGGAAGGCUUUCACAAGAGCUGGAAAGUUCGUUCCUUUCUGCCAAAAUUUUCUUUCGAAUUGGAAUUGAAGCUUUGGAAGCUGCAGAUAUGGUGGGUGACAUGAAAUUCUUAGUCACGGGUUUCUGGUUAAUAAGUGGCUGCUCAUUUUCAUUCGUUUCUCUUGACUCUGUUAGUAGAAAAAAGAAAGCAUCAUCAACAAAAUAAGAUAAGACAAUUUGUGAUGAAUACAGCUAAACUAUAAGUAUUCUUGGAUUUCAAAUUUUACUUCAUAGUCGGAUCUUUUCACAGUAAACAUAUGAUAUUGUAGACAGUUGGGGUUUUUAAAGAAGUUGAUAGGGUUUCAAGAACCCAAUUUAUGGGCGAACUUAAUGAGUGUAAAUAUUCAUGAUUAAGGGAAUAACAACAUACCAGAAAGCGAACGACUGGGAGAGCUCAAUGGUGAAGUCCCUUUCCGUGCAGUAGUACCGAUAUCCAUGGUGGACAAAUCAAAUAUAAAUUUCUUCAGAUUUCAGAAAUUGCUCCUCUUUCCAACUUUUUUUGAAAAGUUUUGGUAUAUAUGAACAGUUGGGGGAGUAACAAAGGAAUGAAGAAGAUGACCGUUAAGAGUAGGUAGCAUAACUAUUUUUAAACCUGAAAUUUCAGAAAUAUGACCGUUGGGGCAUGUGGGCUGUCAGCGUGAUUUCGUAUAACUUACGAAAUUCAAAGGGCCGCGAAUGGCCCAGUCCUUUUGGAUAUGCAACUGAGUUGGGCUUUUGUGUUGAUUAUAGUUUGGGCCAAUAUUAACUUUUGAGCUUCAUGAAAAUUCUUUUUUCUUUGCCCGUGUCUGGCGUUCUGAAGAUUCGUUUUCGGAUGUGGAAUGAAAGGUGAACUGCGAGAUCUCAGGUUAAAAUUUAUUAUAAUAAAAAAAUAUUAUAUAAAGUAGUGAUUCCGUGGAAUCAAUAGAGGUAAAACACAGGAGCGGGGCUAGAAUAUGUUAUUGAUUGGAUCGAACCUAGUAACUUUGGUUUCAAGUUAAUGUUUGUCUUUAGUAA